GGCCGCGGUACUAACCGGGCUAGGUAGCAUAAUCAAUAGUCUAUUACUUGGGGUCUAGAAUGAAGGGUCGGACGAAAGAUUAUCUGUCUUAUAAAAAUAAAGAAUUUUACUUUUAAGUGAAAAGGCUUAAAUGAAAUAAUGGGACGAUAAGACCCUGUGAAGUUUGAAUAAAUAUAGAGUAAAAAUCUAACUAUAUAGUUAUUAGUAUUUAUUUUGUAUUAAAUUUAGCUGGGGCGGCUAGAAUAUAAAUGUUUAACUGUUUGUGAAAAGAAAAUAAAGUUAAUUAGUGAAUUUUAUCCUUUAAUAAGGAACAAAAAUUUAAACUACUCCAGGGAUAACAGCGUAAUUCUUCUUGAGAGUUCUUAUCGACAGAAAUAGUUGCGACCUCGAUGUUGAAUUAAAAUUUCAUUAAUGCGGAGAAGCUUUAAUUAUGGGUCUGUUCGACCUUAAAAAUUUUACGUGAUCUG
rnacentral:rRNA from 1 species